rnacentral:rRNA from 1 species
UACGUAGGGCGCAAGCGUUAUCCGGAAUUAUUGGGCGUAAAGAGCUCGUAGGCGGUUUGUCGCGUCUGCCGUGAAAGCCCGGGGCUCAACUCCGGAUCUGCGGUGGGUACGGGCAGACUAGAGUGAUGUAGGGGAGACUGGAAUUCCUGGUGUAGCGGUGAAAUGCGCAGAUAUCAGGAGGAACACCGGUGGCGAAGGCGGGUCUCUGGGCCGAUACUGACGCUGAGGAGCGAAAGCGUGGGGAGCGAACAGG